UGCGACUUCAAAGCAUCGAUGAGGAAAAUGAUGGUUCAAUCAUCGGGGGUACCUUAGCAGCUGUCAUCAUAAUAACCAUUGGUGGAGUAUCGUUUUUUAUACUUUACAGGCGUCGCAAAAAUAAAGACAGCACAAGAAGUUCAGGCGAAAUCAGAAUCCGCAAUGACACAAAUUUAGAAGACCUUUGUGUAAAUGAAAUGAAAGCAAAAAAUAGCCGGACAGGAACACAAUCUGAUGGAGAUUGCUAUGAAAAUAUAGUCAAUUUAACCACUAGCAUAAGUAUUUCGGAACUACGAACCAUGAUUAAUGAAAAAAGAGAAGGGGAAAACAAAUUGUUUCUCAUUGAAUACAAGAAACUUCCACCUGCAGAGACAAACAUCUGCGAAGCUGCAAAGAAGAUUGAAAAUGUUGCAAAGAACCGUUUUAAAG